rnacentral:lncRNA from 1 species
UUUUUAAACCUUUUAGAUUUCGGAACCAAAGAUGAUUAAAGCAGGCGGGGGUCUGUCAAGCCGACGGCCAUCAAUCAGCACACUGCCCAGCAGGAAAAGCCUAUCAGAAAGAAGGGGAGGAUCUAAAACUAUGAUUGAAAAUGAUCUCAAGCACAUUGUUCAGACAUAAUCACCAGCAUGGGAUCACCUGGAUGGAAAGAAAGAUAAACAGCUUAAAUUUAUACAAAAGAUCUGGGAAAGACUGAAAAAACCUGGUAUUACAUCAUAUCUUUUCCAGUGUUAGGUUGCAGCUAGAAGGGCAUCCGCUGCAUAAAACUUGCUGAAUAAGUUAGCGGUUCAUUCCACUGUGGCGACCACACAUUAAUAAAAGGACUAAGCUGAC